rnacentral:rRNA from 1 species
ACUCCUACGGGAGGCAGCAGUGGGAAUCUUAGACAAUGGGGGCAACCCUGAUCUAGCCAUGCCGCGUGAGUGACGAAGGCCUUAGGGUCGUAAAGCUCUUUCGCCUGUGAAGAUAAUGACGGUAGCAGGUAAAGAAACCCCGGCUAACUCCGUGCCAGCAGCCGCGGUAAUACGGAGGGGUUAGCGUUGUUCGGAAUUACUGGGCGUAAAGCGCACGUAGGCGGAUCGGAAAGUUGGGGGUGAAAUCCCGGGGCUCAACCCCGGAACGGCCUCCAAAACUAUCGGUCUAGAGUUCGAGAGAGGUGAGUGGAAUUCCGAGUGUAGAGGUGAAAUUCGUAGAUAUUCGGAGGAACACCAGUGGCGAAGGCGGCUCACUGGCUCGAUACUGACGCUGAGGUGCGAAAGUGUGGGGAGC